CGAAGGGGCUAGCGUUGUUCGGAAUCACUGGGCGUAAAGGGCGCGUAGGCGGCUUUGUAAGUCGGGGGUGAAAGCCUGUGGCUCAACCACAGAAUUGCCUUCGAUACUGCAUGGCUUGAGACCGGAAGAGGUAAGUGGAACUGCGAGUGUAGAGGUGAAAUUCGUAGAUAUUCGCAAGAACACCAGUGGCGAAGGCGGCUUACUGGUCCGGUUCUGACGCUGAGGCGCGAAAGCGUGGGGAGCAAACAGGAUU
rnacentral:rRNA from 1 species